rnacentral:rRNA from 1 species
GAUGAACGCUGGCGGUAUGCCUAACACAUGCAAGUCGUACGAGAGUUUUUAACUCUAGUGGCGGACGGGUGAGUAACACGUGAGAAUUUGCCUUUAGGAGGGGGACAACAAUUGGAAACGAAUGCUAAUACCCCAUAUGCUUUCGAGUGAAAUGGAUUUUAUCCGCCUAGAGAGAAGCUCGCGGCUGAUUAGCUUGUUGGUAAGGUAAGAGCUUACCAAGGCGACGAUCAGUAUCUGGUUUGAGAGGACGACCAGCCACACUGGAACUGAGACACGGACCCGACUCCUACGGGAGGCAGCAGUAAGGAAUAUUGGGCAAUGGACGGAAGUCUGACCCAGCCAUCCCGCGUGCAGGACGAAUGCCCUAUGGGUUGUAAACUGCUUUUGUUUGGGAAGAAAUGUAUUCUUUUAAGAGUAUUUGACGGUACCAGACGAAUAAGCACCGGCUAACUCCGUG